UACGAGGGGGGCGAGCGUUGUUCGGAAUUAUUGGGCGUAAAGGGUGCGUAGGCGGUUUUGUAAGUCUUAUGUGAAAUCUAUGGGCUCAACUCAUAGACUGCAUGAGAAACUGCAGGGCUUGAGUAUGGGAGAGGUGAGUGGAAUUCCUGGUGUAGCGGUGAAAUGCGCAGAUAUCAGGAGGAACACCAAUUGCGAAGGCAGCUCGCUGGGACGUUACUGACGCUGAGACGCGAAAGCGUGGGGAGCAAACAGG
rnacentral:rRNA from 1 species